GAGUGAAAUAGAACCUGAAACCGUGUGCUUACAAGUAGUCAGAGCCCGUUAAUGGGUGAUGGCGUGCCUUUUGUAGAAUGAACCGGCGAGUUACGAUUUGAUGCAAGGUUAAGCAGUAAAUGUGGAGCCGUAGCGAAAGCGAGUCUGAAUAGGGCGUUUAGUAUUUGGUCGUAGACCCGAAACCAGGUGAUCUACCCUUGGUCAGGUUGAAGUUCAGGUAACACUGAAUGGAGGACCGAACCGACUUACGUUGAAAAGUGAGCGGAUGAACUGAGGGUAGCGGAGAAAUUCCAAUCGAACCUGGAGAUAGCUGGUUCUCUCCGAAAUAGCUUUAGGGCUAGCCUCAAGUGAUGAUUAUUGGAGGUAGAGCACUGUUUGGACGAGGGGCCCCUCUCGGGUUACCGAAUUCAGACAAACUCCGAAUGCCAAUUAAUUUAACUUGGGAGUCAGAACAUGGGUGAUAAGGUCCGUGUUCGAAAGGGAAACAGCCCAGACCACCAGCUAAGGUCCCAAAAUAUAUGUUAAGUGGAAAAGGAUGUGGCGUUGCCCAGACAACUAGGAUGUUGGCUUAGAAGCAGCCAUCAUUUAAAGAGUGCGUAAUAGCUCACUAGUCGAGUGACACUGCGCCGAAAAUGUACCGGGGCUAAACAUAUUACCGAAGCUGUGGAUUGUCCUUUGGACAAUGGUAGGAGAGCGUUCUAAGGGCGUUGAAGCAUGAUCGUAAGGACAUGUGGAGCGCUUAGAAGUGAGAAUGCCGGUGUGAGUAGCGAAAGACGGGUGAGAAUCCCGUCCACCGAUUGACUAAGGUUUCCAGAGGAAGGCUCGUCCGCUCUGGGUUAGUCGGGUCCUAAGCUGAGGCCGACAGGCGUAGGCGAUGGAUAACAGGUUGAUAUUCCUGUACCACCUAUAAUCGUUUUAAUCGAUGGGGGGACGCAGUAGGAUAGGCGAAGCGUGCGAUUGGAUUGCACGUCUAAGCAGUAAGGCUGAGUAUUAGGCAAAUCCGGUACUCGUUAAGGCUGAGCUGUGAUGGGGAGAAGACAUUGUGUCUUCGAGUCGUUGAUUUCACACUGCCGAGAAAAGCCUCUAGAUAGAAAAUAGGUGCCCGUACCGCAAACCGACACAGGUAGUCAAGAUGAGAAUUCUAAGGUGAGCGAGCGAACUCUCGUUAAGGAACUCGGCAAAAUGACCCCGUAACUUCGGGAGAAGGGGUGCUCUUUAGGGUUAACGCCCAGAAGAGCCGCAGUGAAUAGGCCCAAGCGACUGUUUAUCAAAAACACAGGUCUCUGCUAAACCGUAAGGUGAUGUAUAGGGGCUGACGCCUGCCCGGUGCUGGAAGGUUAAGAGGAGUGGUUAGCUUCUGCGAAGCUACGAAUCGAAGCCCCAGUAAACGGCGGCCGUAACUAUAACGGUCCUAAGGUAGCGAAAUUCCUUGUCGGGUAAGUUCCGACCCGCACGAAAGGCGUAA
rnacentral:rRNA from 1 species